rnacentral:misc_RNA from 1 species
GAGGUGUAACUAGAGGAACAAGUGAUUCUUUGAAUUGUCUUUCGAAACUGUUGUUAACCGUUCAUUUAAAAAUGCCAACAACAGAUACAGAAAGCUCUUUCAUAGAAGAAACUUGUAAAGAAGUUGACCACAGUCCUAAUCAUCAUAAAGGCCUGACAGAAAAUCCUUCCAUUGAUGCUGAUUAUGGUGAACAGCAGACUUUAAGGUCCAACAGAUCUACAUAUUUUGAACAGAAGAUACAUAUUCCAACCUCAGAAGCUAGUAUCUUUAGUUUCCGAAAGUUGUGGGCCUUUACAGGACCUGGAUUUUUGAUGAGCAUAGCCUAUCUGGAUCCUGGAAAUAUAGAGUCUGAUCUUCAGUCUGGAACAGUUGCAGAAUUUAAGCUGUUGUGGAUUUUGAUGUGGGCAACAGUUUUGGGUUUAGUCAUGCAACGAUUGGCUGUUCGAGUUGGAGUGGUGACAGGACUAAAUUUAGCCGAACUUUGCCAACGAAUUUAUCCAAAAGUGCCUCGUUUGAUUUUGUGGAUUAUGAUAGAAAUUGCCAUAAUUGGGUCUGACAUGCAAGAGGUUAUAGGAACAGCUAUUGCAUUCUAUUUGUUGUCUAAUAAAGCAAUCCCACUCUAUGGAGGUGUUCUCAUCACAAUUGUUGACACAUUUACAUUCCUGUUUUUGGAUAAGUAUGGUCUACGAAAAUUAGAAGCUUUAUUUGGUUUCUUGAUUACAGUUAUGGCUAUUACUUUUGGAUAUGAGUAUGUACGAGUUGCCCCGACACAAACAGAAGUGGUUAAAGGACUUUUCUAUACCUGGUGUUCUCACUGUGAUUCUAAAGCUUUAUUGCAAGCUGUAGGAAUAGUAGGGGCUGUAAUUAUGCCUCAUAAUUUAUAUCUUCAUUCUGCUUUAGUCAAGUCUCGAGAAGUGGACAGAUCCAAAAGAAAUGAAAUCAAAGAAGCAAACAAGUACUUUUUCAUCGAAUCAGCUAUAGCUCUUUUUGUAUCAUUAGUCAUCAACAUAUUUGUAGUUUCUGUAUUUGCUGAAGGUUUGUACAACAAGACUAAUGCUGAUGUGCAUGAACUCUGUCUUACCAAUAACCUUCUUCAUGCCAGUGACUUUCCUAAUAAUACAAAUAAUGUUGAAGCUGACAUCUAUAAAGGGGGAGUGUUCCUAGGGUGUCAGUUUGGGGUUGCAGCCAUGUACAUUUGGGCAGUUGGUAUUCUAGCAGCUGGACAGAGCUCUACUAUGACUGGUACUUAUGCUGGUCAGUUUGUUAUGGAAGGUUUUCUCGAUCUUCAUUGGACUCGCUGGAAGAGAGUUUUACUAACUCGAACAAUCGCCAUUUGUCCCACCAUAUUGGUUGCUAUCUUUAGUAAUAUUGAUGACUUGACAGGAAUGAAUGACCUACUUAAUGCUCUUAUGAGUCUUCAGCUUCCAUUUGCCCUUCUUCCAACACUAACAUUUUCCUCAUCUGUAGCCAUUAUGGGAGAUUUUCGGAAUGGAGUAUAUCACCCAUGUACUGAAUCAAACACAGUGGCCCCGCUUACCUCUUUUCAUUUUUGGAAACAGUCUCGUAUAUACAGUUACUUGUGUAUAUAACGUGAAUAACCAAUCAAAAGCUCAGAAUGUUCCCCUAGUGGCUUUCUCAAUCAUUUUCGUGUAUUAGGAUGCCAUCUCGUUCUUUUGAAACAAGAUUUCAAGGAGGAUAAACAAGGUUAUUGCAAGUGUCCUGUCUGUUAUGGUUGUUGGCAUUAACCUUUACUUCGUCUUCAACUUUACACAGAGUGCUC